UACGGAGGGUGCAAGCGUUAUCCGGAUUCACUGGGUUUAAAGGGUGCGUAGGUGGGUUGGUAAGUCAGUGGUGAAAUACUUUCGCUUAACGAAGGAACUGCCAUUGAUACUACCAGUCUUGAAUACAGUGGAGGUAGGCGGAAUGCGUCAUGUAGCGGUGAAAUGCUUAGAUAUGACGCAGAACACCAAUUGCGAAGGCAGCUUGCUACACUGUUAUUGACACUGAGGCACGAAAGCGUGGGGGUCAAACAGG
rnacentral:rRNA from 1 species